UCCAUUCACAUAUGGAUAGGUCCCAUGGACCGGAAGUAGAAGGGCGUGACUUUGGCUCUCUACAUAACAUAUCGGUCUAU